AGUCAAGAUUGACAUUCCAGAACCUAAUGAAGAAAAGCUAGAAGUUGUAACGGAGGUAACUAAGUAUGAUACUGUCUUUAAUGGACAAGCUGUUGAUCCAGUUACAGGGAGGUGGUAUGAAUACAACAGUAAAACAGGAGCAAGGAAGUGG